rnacentral:misc_RNA from 1 species
GUCAAAACAGCUUCGUGGUGGAGUUUCAACAGCCCGGGAACAACCUGCUUAAAUGUAGCGAGCCAUCAAGGACACUGAGGACGAACGUGAUAUUCAUCUGUGACCGGGACAAGCACAUUCCCAUUGGACCUGGGUCCCUGGUCACCAAGCUUCCGUACGACAGCAUUGACGAGCGAGAUGCGUGUGAGCGUAAUGUGACCGUGAAGUACGACGGGGCAUGUGGCUCCAGUUCACCGGUAACUUCAUCAGGAGGACUCAGUACUGGAUCCGUGCUCCUCAUACUGUUCUUCGUGGCGCUGCUGAUAUACUUCGUGGGAGGCGUCCUAGUCAACCGCAACAACGGCGCUCAAGGUGUGGAGAUGAUACCUCACCUGCAGUUCUGGAAGGAGCUGCCUUCGCUCAUAGUGGAGGGGUGCGUUUUCUUCGUCCAACUGGUCACCUGUCAAACUGGACGCACGGCGAGUUCCUACGACAACAUAUGAAAACGUGAUCUCUACCACUUCUUCCUGUCACAUCAUCAUCAACGAAAGCGUCUGCUAAUAAACAAGACAAGACAUGCACAAACACAGAGUCGUUGAAUGCGAAUGAAAAGCAAUAUUCUCCUUUUUCGUUAUUUUCUUGUGAAUUCGUGCACUCUUCUGUGCCUGCCGUUUCCUCCUUGUCUUCGUCGUGUUUCAAUAUUAUCUACACCUACGGACAAGACAGACACAAGCUGAAAGGGUUUGUGUAUGUGAAGACCUUGGGACAAAGCCGCUAGACUCAAUACCACAGGCAGAGGCGCAGAAUUGUGUAGAACGUCUGAAAUUAAGGUUCACUGCAAUUUUUUUUCCACAGAUUUAGAAGUGUUCCUCUGUACUGCUUUCAUUGGGUCUUUUUGGCCAAGAAAUUUGGCAGCAGAAUUACAGCUUAGUGCCCUUAUGAGACAAUGUGACAGAUGUUGUCCCACUUAUUCGAAGAUGCUUCAUGGGUCGAUGAGCCACAUGCGUCCCACUUUUUUCUCAUAAAUUGAUGGCCAUAUAUAG